rnacentral:rRNA from 1 species
AGUGAACGCUGGCGGUAGGCCUAACACAUGCAAGUCGAACGGCAGCACAGUAAGAGCUUGCUCUUACGGGUGGCGAGUGGCGGACGAGUGAGGAAUACAUCGGAAUCUACUUUUUCGUGGGGGAUAACGUAGGGAAACUUACGCUAAUACCGCAUACGACCUACGGGUGAAAGCAGGGGAUCUUCGGACCUUGCGCGAUUGAAUGAGCCGAUGUCGGAUUAGCUAGUUGGCGGGGUAAAGGCCCACCAAGGCGACGAUCCGUAGCUGGUCUGAGAGGAUGAUCAGCCACACUGGAACUGAGACACGGUCCAGACUCCUACGGGAGGCAGCAGUGGGGAAUAUUGGACAAUGGGCGCAAGCCUGAUCCAGCCAUACCGCGUGGGUGAAGAAGGCCUUCGGGUUGUAAAGCCCUUUUGUUGGGAAAGAAGAGCAGCAGGUUAAUACCCCGCUGUUCUGACGGUACCCAAAGAAUAAGCACCGGCUAACUUCGUG